ACGAACCGUGCGAACGUUAUUCGGAAUCACUGGGCUUAAAGCGCGUGUAGGCGGAUCGUUAAGUGCCUUGUGAAAUCCUGCGGCUCAACCGCAGAACCGCUGGGCAUACUGGCGAUCUUGGGCCACUCAGGGGUCACUGGAACAAGCGGUGGAGCGGUGAAAUGCGUAGAUAUCGCUUGGAACGCCAAAGGUGAAGACAGGUGACUGGGGGUGUGCCGACGCUGAGACGCGAAAGCCGGGGGAGCAAACGGGA
rnacentral:rRNA from 1 species